CCUAUACGUGAAAGCAGAGGAUAUGGUUAGGAGCCACGUAAGAGCAUGCUCCCAAUGUAAGUGUUCAUAAAACAGUUCUGCUGAAAAGAAAGAGAAGGGGAGGGGGGCGCCUGGCUGGCUCAGCUGGUGAAGUGCUCAACUCUUGAUCUUGGGGUUAUGAGUUUGAGCCACACAUUGGGUGUACAGACUACUUAAUAAAAUCUUAAAAAAAAAAAAAAAGGCAGCUGAGUGAGUUUGGCACACCUACUGUGGUGGACAGGAGCUAUUCUACACGAGCUUAGAGCUACUCCACUAGGUAGGAGUGAACUCUGACCCACACCUGCACCAUGCCAGGGCCCAUACAUCUCUAACCACCACUGGCCCAGGAGCAGGAACAGACAUAAACCAGUAGGUGUUAGAAUCCUCUUAGUUUUCUUCACCAUUGCCUCUCUUUGUGUCCAUCUCUAACCCAAAAGCCUUAUAGGACUCUCUUCCCUUCCCCACCUCCCCUGCUCUAAUGUUUCUAGCUGGCAGGUUCCCUGUGAGCACAGACUAAUAGGGAUUCUGUGUUGCAGCAAGUGUGCAGGGAAGGAACAGUUACUGGGAUGUUAGGAGAAAACAAAAGUCUAGCCAUCACUGAUAAUAUCCACUGCUGUGCCCCUUGGAAGCUACCAAUUUAGUGUCAAAAGGGAGGAGAGUCAUUAGAGCAAUGCUGGUGAAUCAGAAACUCCCAAAGUCAACAGCAGCUUUGAUACCAAAGAGACACAAGAAGGCUUCCUUAGUCAUAGAUCAGACCCCAGACAGUACCUGCUAUUUCUCUUCGCUCUUGCCCUGGCAUAAAAGGCUUCAUAGGACUUUGGUUUCAAUUCGAGAGCCUUGGAAGCAAAUUCUUCUGCCAUGCCAAAGUCCUGGUGUCAACAUUUAAAUACAGGAGUCAAAAGAAGCACUGAGACAUGAGUACAGACAUCUUUUUAACAGAUUUCCUCUCAAGGUUAGCAGAGAACUGGGACGUAACUGAAUAGGUAAAGGGCAACAUAAGUUUUAUUUAUUUUGUUUUAAAGUUAAGGAGUUUAAAAUAAGUAAAGUUAGGAGAUAGUUAAUGCUUUUUCAUAUUUUAAGAGAAGAACCCAGUAGAGAAGUAAAAACGGACGACUCGGGACAGCGGGUAGAAGCAGCGCACCAGAAGGCGGGGAGCAUGCAACGCGCAGGCGCAGGGAGGGUCAGCUUCCAAGAGCGACGGAGACGCCCACUCACUGCAACCGCAAGGUGGGCCGCAUUCGCGGGCACAGAAGCAGGCGGUCAAUGGAUUCGGUGGUGAGAAGAUGAAAUGAACAACAAUAGCAACAAAAGGCAGGAGAAAGAAGUACUGAAGCACAUCUAUAGUUUCUGUUUACAAAUUAACUAUGAGUUAACUACUGAGAACUACAAAUUAACCGGUUACUGGCAUACGGAUUAUAACACAUCCUUGAACUUUACAGCACCCUUUUGAGUCUGGGAAGGGUGGCCCGUGACAGAAGUGCAUGUUGGCAAGGGGAGGAGCGGCAGCCGGCUCGCCUGUCACUGCUGAGGCCGAGGAAAGUGCCUUCCAAGUGCAUUCCCUCAGCACUCUAAGGACGCAGUGACGGCCAUCACGUGACGGCCACCUAAGGAGAAGCAGCCCCCCACACGCCAAGUUCACAGCACCGUGCAAACAAACCACACAGGAGGCUCCGUGACUCCGUCUGCAUAAGGGCUGGCCUUCACCGCUAGAAAACACUCUACUGCUAAAGGAACAGACUAAGGAAUCAAAAAAAGCACAGAAAUUGAUCCUUUCCCGGAUGCUUCAAGAUGAACAGCCUCCUGCAACUUGAAGACCCUGGUGAGGUUUCCGCGUCCCUCUCAUCCCGCAACAGAAACCAUCCGAGCACAUGGAAGGGUCCUGCAGAGGACACAGCGCCCUGACCAGCAUGAGCCCGCACAGCCUCACUGCCCGCAUGGACUUCUGCACCACGUGCUUCACGGGGAAGGCACAAACUGGUUUUCCAGGAAACAGUCUGUAAACUGCCUAAUUGAUAACCAUCAAUCUUAAUACAUCAGAUUAUCCUCUCUGUUCUAUAUUUUUGAAAACCAUUUCAGGAAUGAUCCUUCCUCGACAAAUACUUUAAUGCUAACUGUAACGAUAGAAAUCAGAUAAAGAAAUGAUGCCCUUCCCAAGGCAAGUACAGUCUUGUGGAGAAACCUAGAGCUUGCUGUAAAAUAAUCAUUUGUGAGAGGAACUAAAGUAUGGGCUUUAAAAACUGGAACAGCACCGCACAUCAUUUUCAAGGCUAAAGAAAUCAAUUUGCUCAGUCAGUUCCAUAGCACAGCAGGUGUGAAGUCUGCUGAAAAUGGCUUGAUAUUUCUAACAUAAUUGCCUACCAAAAUUCAUAUUAAAACCACUUCAAAGCCACAACAACAUAUACUCUGAACUCAAUUUCAAACGGAUUACAAGUCAGGAACCCCGCUGGGUCGUGCUUUUGCCUACAUAUUUGUUAUUAUUAAAAAAAGAAAAGGGAAAAACUAAAUGCAGUCCAUGCAGCAGCCUCCUGAUAAAAGGAUUAAAAUGGUCAUAAUGCAGUUUUUUGUUUUAUUUUCAGAACUUUUACUUCUGUCUAAUUACAGACCUGGAAAGAACAGUGAACUAGGUCUAUGGCCUAAGCAUCUAUCUAAGCCAGGGGUGGGCGCACUACAGCUUCUGGGCCAAAUCUCGCCUGCCACCCAUUUUCACAAAUGCACUUUGACUGGGACAUGGCCACACCCAUCUGUUCUGUAUCACCUGCGGCUGCUUUCAUGCCACAGCAGCAAAGCUGGGGGGCAGUGACAGAGACCAUAUGGCAAAGCCUAUUUCCUUGUCUGGCGUUUUACAGAAAGAGUCUGCUGACCUCGGAUCUAAACUAAUAGCUUAUUUUGGAAAUUUUACUUCAAAUUUUAUUUAAAAUGUUUACUUUUAUUAAUCUUUACAUUUCCAUUUCUAAGGGAAAAUGGGGAAAAAAUUAUCUCCCCAGUAACUGAGUAUUAUAUAUUCCUUGACUAUCUUAAGUAAAAAUAUCUCUAGAAACUGUUUCAAAUUGCAGAAGCUUACAACUAUUAAAAAUAAGAUAAUAAAGUCUUAGGAGACUUAAUGAUUCUUUUCUUCAGAAAAUGUCUCCUGAGUGGCCCUUUCCUGAAUUAAGGAAUGUCCUGCUUGAGGCUACUCUACCUUCACACCAAGGCUUCAGGCCAUACGUCACAGUCAUAGCUGUGAGGAUGCAUUCAGAAAUAACAGUUCUCAACGACAGAAUAGUGCCUUCCACCUUGAAGGCUCUGCUGUGGAGACAUGAAAGCCUGGGCACGAGGCCAGGUGUGCAUCUCCCAGAGCGUCCACGGAAGCCUGGCUACAGGUGUGGUGGGCAGGAGCAUGGUCCCGCCCGGUCCACACCAAACUAAGAGGUUGCUCGUAGGCUGUCACAUCCCAGAAAAGGGCGAUACCACUUACUUUGUACAUCACGUUUCCUUCCUCCAUCAAUUUCUGUAAAAGUAUAAUCAAAAUAUCAGGUUUGGAAGUAGCCAUCGCCCAGGCAGCAUUUCCUGCAAAACAAACAUGCAUUCAGAGGCACGUCAGUGCUCCGGGAGGGAAGGAGUUUACUGCUGCUGGGGCCAGAUGGCAGCCCAGGUCACAGACAGCAGCAUACUGUGUCCUGCAGCCUCCAGAUAACAGUACAAGUAAGGACAGGGAGCAGGACCCCCAGGAGUUGGUCUCCCUUCCAAUCUGCCUCACGCUGAAUGAGGCUCCUGGGAGGAGGCUGUACCCCGUGCACCUGUUACUCUGAUGAAAAGAGUGCUGGGAAACCAAGGCGUCAGAGCAGCCAGGCCCAUCCCUCCCUUCUGCUGGGAUUUUUGGGGAAAAUCAAACAUGGCUUCUGAAUAAUCUCCUUAGCUUCCUGCAGGGCCCAUGUCUGCUGGUGAGUGAAGGCACGUGUUCUUAGCAGCCUCUCACUCUCUGCUGCAGUCUAUACUGCAUCUGCCCAGACAGGUUGGCUCUGGCUAGUCCGCCCUCUUGUCACAGCUCAUGUUUCUCUAGCCGCCAGCCCCACUUCUGAGCACGUGCAGGGAAUAAUGCUUAAGAGAGGACAGUCUCAGAGUCAGACUACUCUGCUCCACUGACUCUGCUGAUUACCAUGACCUUAGGGAAGCUAUUUACCUCCACUGUGCCUUGGUUUACUCCUCUGCAACAUGAUGGUGUUAUCUCUACCUACUUAGAGGGUAGGUGAGGAUUAACUAUGAUAAAACAUGAAACUGCUCAGAAUAAUUCCUGGUACUGUGAACUGCUUAGUAAGAUCAGAUCUGUUCAUCUUUGCCACAGUCCCCUCCUGGGGGCUGCCGCUGGCCGAAGGUCUGGCGUAUUAAACUAUGAGAGCCAUGUUCUUGUUGCUCUUUACCCACACAUUGUGGAGUGGGGGCUCCACGCUCCGACCAAGCACAGAGAACGAGGCUCUUCCUACUCUGAGUCCCCUCUGCCCUGUCAUUAUCCUUCAGUGACACCCCUCCCCCAUCUAGUUUCCAGUAAAAUCCCAUGAACUUUCCUUCACAGAAACUGCUGGAGUUGUGGCUACCCUACCCGACUAGGACUACUCCAGAACAGUGGUUCGCCAAUUCAGCUGCUCAGCAGAGCCACCUGUGAGCUUUCUUAACCACAUAACCAGCCUCCCCCAAAGAGCUGAAUGGAGCUGCUCACUGCCGUGGCUCCCGGGCAUCCCUAACACCCUACAAUUCUAGACUGGUCUUCAACAUUGGCCACUGCUUUCUACCCACACUGCAGUGAUAAUGUCAUGAGUUAUUUAAGCAUUCUGAAUGACUGUGUUUAAAUGAGCCUUGUAGAGGACAGAAAAGAAAUCUCUAGGCACCUGACAUCUUCUUAACCUGGGAUCAGGUAAGUCUUUAUGGCCCCGGACAUACUCUAGAAUUUGAAGUGAACCUCCCUCUCCCGCUGCUGAGAUGAGGUGUUCACUGACCUAAUUUGGCUCCUUUUCUCAGCAGUGUAACCACUACAGAUGUAUUUCGACAACCAAUGGCUCUAUCCAAGGGGCGCAUGCCGCUGUGGUCCACGUGCUCAAUCACGGCUCCCUUCUCAACCAGAUACAGUACCUGCAGGGAGAGACAGAGCCCUGAGGGGUGGCUGGUGGCAGAGGCGUCACACCCCACCCACCUCUGCAUCCUGGGGUGGAACUGGCAGUCUUAGCUUUACUGUGAUCUUCAACGCUUCUGGCCAUGAAGGGUCCUGAUGGAAAUGAAGCCAACGGGUAACCGAAAAGAGGGUUAUAAUCCAUAGCUAAAGUCCACUCUGCCAUCAGCAAUGAGGGAGGCGGGUGAACACUCCUAGGGAGGGACAUGUUAUGUACAUGCAUUCAUAUACCACAGAGGAGUAUAUGCAUAUCAACUUCCCAGACCACAGGGAUGGCCACAGUCAUCUUUUCACCUCCAAUUACUUAGGAGGCAGACGUCUACAACAGCUCCUACAUACUGGCAGUCUACAGCAAUGGGACCUCUGGAAACACUCAGACCCACACAGCCUGGGUAUAGCAAGCUAGAAAAACUAGCAGCUUGAGAUUAGAAAAAAAAAACAAUUAUUACGCACUUUAAGGCUUAGGAAAGAGACUCAAA